rnacentral:precursor_RNA from 12 species
GCGCUGAGAUGAGUCUGGGCUUGGAGCAGUGCUGAGAGGGCUUGGGGAGAGGAUUGUAGUGGAGCUCCAUCCCCAUUCCACUCCUAGCAGCUCUCUGGCCAUCCACCUCCGUUUCUGCCA